rnacentral:misc_RNA from 1 species
AAGUCGUAACAAGGUUUCCGUAGGUGAACCUGCGGAAGGAUCAUUAACAGAUUUUGGGUUAAUUUUUUGGGGUUUUUAUUUAAACUCUUUAAACUCUAAAAAAAUAAUUCACCUUUUGUGCACUGUUAUUAAGAUAUACUUUGGUUAGAGCUUUGAUUUCAUUAUUGAAAUCAACUUCUUGCUAACUCCAUCCUUUAAAGGACAGUUGGCUAUGAAGCGUGCCUACCAAGGUUUUUUAUCAAACUCUUUGUAUUUUGUCUGACCUAAAUAAAUAAUAAUUAAAUCAUAACUUUCAACAACGGAUCUCUUGGCUCUC